rnacentral:rRNA from 1 species
UACGUAGGGGGCUAGCGUUGUCCGGAAUCAUUGGGCGUAAAGCGCGUGUAGGCGGCCCGGUAAGUCCGCUGUGAAAGUCGAGGGCUCAACCCUCGAAAGCCGGUGGAUACUGUCGGGCUCGAGUGCGGGAGAGGCGAGUGGAAUUCCUGGUGUAGCGGUGAAAUGCGUAGAUAUCCGGAGGAACACCGGUGGCGAAGGCGGCUUCCUGGACCGACACUGACGCUGAGGCGCGAAAGCUAGGGGAGCAAACGGG